CCAGGAUCCCCCAGCGCCGCCCUGCGCGGAGCCCGACGGCAGUCAACGCCAUGCGCGCGCUGCUGCCGCUCCUGCGCACCGGCUGGGGCUGGCGCGCGGGAGCCCCCGCCGCCGCCCGCUUGCCCCGGGGAAAGAGUGCAGGGCCUGGACCGCACGGCGCCAUGGCCCAGGCCUUCUACCGCACGGAGGAGCGCGGCCAGCUCUACUCCCCCGAUUACCGCCUCUUCUUCAAGAAUGUAGCUGGUCACUACAUUUCCCCCUUUCAUGAUAUUCCUCUCAAGGUGGACUCAACGGAGGAAAAUGGCAUUCCUACAAAGAGAGCACGAAAUGAUGAAUAUGAGAAUUUGUUUAAUAUGGUUGUAGAAGUACCUCGGUGGACAAAUGCUAAAAUGGAGAUUGCCACAAAGGAGCCAUUGAAUCCCAUUAAACAAGAUACAAAGAAUGGCAAGCUACGCUAUGUGGCAAAUAUAUUUCCUCACAAGGGUUAUAUCUGGAAUUAUGGUGCCCUCCCACAGACUUGGGAAGAUCCCCAUCAAAAAGAUAAGAGUACAGACUGCUGUGGAGAUAAUGAUCCUAUUGAUGUUUGUGAAAUAGGCUCAAAGGUUCUUUCUUGUGGAGAGGUUAUUCAUGUGAAGAUCCUUGGAAUUUUGGCUCUUAUUGAUCAGGGUGAAACAGAUUGGAAAAUAAUUGCUAUCAAUGUGAAUGAUCCCGAAGCCUCAAAGUUUCAUGAUAUUGAUGAUGUUAAGAAAUACAAACCAGGUUACUUGGAAGCUACACUUAAUUGGUUUAGAUUUUAUAAGGUGCCGGAAGGAAAACCUGAAAACCAGUUUGCUUUUAAUGGAGAAUUCAGAAACAAGGCUUUUGCUCUUGAAGUUAUUAAAUGUACUCAUGAAUGUUGGAGAACAUUGCUUAUGAAGAGGUGUGACAGAGGGGCUAUAAGUUGCACAAAUGUGCAGGUAUGUGACAGCCCUUUCCAUUGCACUCAAGAGGAAGCAAGAUCAAUAGUUGAACUGUUGGGCUGUCUUGCAGCUUUCCUUCUAGCUAAGAUGAUAUCCUUCGAUUUUUAUAUAUCCUAGUGAUAAGGCUGCCCGGAGGCAACUGAAGUUUUUAGGAAAUUAAUGCUUGAUUUGGAGACCACUAAAUAAGAAAAUUCAUAUUCAGAUAACCAGGUGUCAUCAUCACCAGAUAAGGGAAGUAAAGAAGAAGAGCAAGUGUGGCACUUCCUUGGCAAGUGAUUUGAACAUUUGAAGUUCUGCCAUCGAGACUCCAAUCUCCAAGGCCUCCACAACUCCCUCUCCCCAAGUUCUAGCAACAGGCAGAUCUAUGAGAAUUUAUUGACUUCCUAUUGAAACCUUUUUCCCCCAGCCUUAUUCGAGAUAUACAAUAUGUAAAUAAAGACCAAUAUUUUUAAA